AACGAACGCUGGCGGCAGGCUUAACACAUGCAAGUCGAGCGCCUCGCAAGAGGAGCGGCAGACGGGUGAGUAACGCGUGGGAACGUACCCUUAUCUUCGGAAUAGCUCUGGGAAACUGGAAGUAAUACCGAAUGUGCCCUUAGGGGGAAAGAUUUAUCGGAUAAGGAUCGGCCCGCGUUGGAUUAGCUAGUUGGUGGGGUAAAGGCCUACCAAGGCGACGAUCCAUAGCUGGUCUGAGAGGAUGAUCAGCCACAUUGGGACUGAGACACGGCCCAAACUCCUACGGGAGGCAGCAGUGGGGAAUAUUGGACAAUGGGCGCAAGCCUGAUCCAGCCAUGCCGCGUGAGUGAUGAAGGCCCUAGGGUUGUAAAGCUCUUUCACCGGAGAAGAUAAUGACGGUAUCCGGAGAAGAAGCCCCGGCUAACUUCGUG
rnacentral:rRNA from 1 species